GACAUAGGUGGCGAACGUUAUCCGGAAUUAUUGGGCGUAAAGGAUGCGUAGAUGGUAUAAUAAGUUAUUGGUGGUAAAUCGAGGCUCAACCUCGUGGAAGCUGGUAAUACUGUUAUACUCGAGGAUAGGAGAGGUUAACGGAACUCCCUGUGGAGCGGUGAAAUGCGUAGAUAUAGGGAAGAACACCAAUAAAGGCGAAGGCAGUUAACUAUUCUAUUCCUGACAUUUGAGGCA
rnacentral:rRNA from 1 species